UGGGAGCUUGCUCCCUGAUGUUAGCGGCGGACGGGUGAGUAACACGUGGGUAACCUGCCUGUAAGACUGGGAUAACUCCGGGAAACCGGGGCUAAUACCGGAUGGUUGUUUGAACCGCAUGGUUCAGACAUAAAAGGUGGCUUCGGCUACCACUUACAGAUGGACCCGCGGCGCAUUAGCUAGUUGGUGAGGUAACGGCUCACCAAGGCAACGAUGCGUAGCCGACCUGAGAGGGUGAUCGGCCACACUGGGACUGAGACACGGCCCAGACUCCUACGGGAGGCAGCAGUAGGGAAUCUUCCGCAAUGGACGAAAGUCUGACGGAGCAACGCCGCGUGAGUGAUGAAGGUUUUCGGAUCGUAAAGCUCUGUUGUUAGGGAAGAACAAGUGCCGUUCAAAUAGGGCGGCACCUUGACGGUACCUAACCAGAAAGCCACGGCUAACUACGUGCCAGCAGCCGCGGUAAUACGUAGGUGGCAAGCGUUGUCCGGAAUUAUUGGGCGUAAAGGGCUCGCAGGCGGUUUCUUAAGUCUGAUGUGAAAGCCCCCGGCUCAACCGGGGAGGGUCAUUGGAAACUGGGGAACUUGAGUGCAGAAGAGGAGAGUGGAAUUCCACGUGUAGCGGUGAAAUGCGUAGAGAUGUGGAGGAACACCAGUGGC
rnacentral:rRNA from 1 species